rnacentral:lncRNA from 1 species
UAACCAAAUGUGACUUUUUCAUUUUACUAACAACUACAUACUUUCUCCAUUUCUCUCUUUCGUUGAGGUGAAUAAAAUGAGAACACUUAGAAACUUUACAAAACUGAAAGAAAAAAAAACUUUCUUCAUUUCACUUUCUCAUAACAAAAUAAAAACAAAGAAAAAAAGGAAAAGCUGUUACCUUUCAUGAUCUUUAGCAUAAACUUCUAUCUUU